UCUGUUGCCCAGGCUGGAUGCAGAAGCAUGAUCAUGGCUCGUUGCAGCCACAACCUCUCAGGCUCAAGCGAUUCUCUCACCUUAGCCUCCUGAGCGGCUGGGACUACAGAUGUGCACCAUGCCCACCUCAAUUUUUUUUUUUUUAAGAGAUGAGGUUUUACUACAUUUCCCAGCCUGGUGUCAAACUCCUGGCCUCAAUCCUCCCACCUCAGCCUCCCAAAAGUGUUGGGAUUAUAGGCGUGAGCCCCUGCAUCCGAGUACCACUUUAUAAAAAUUUUUUUUAAAAAAAGUUUUUUGUGAGUGCUAUUGUACAUGGCUAGGUUUCAAAGAGCCCUUGGCCAUCCCUCACCAACCUUUGAUGAAAGGUGGUGUUAGUCCCCUUCUCCAGGCCACAUUAGAAAAAUAGGCCUGACAUCAGGCCUCGGGGUUUCUCUCACAGGCCUUGGCUUGGAAGGCUGGAGCUUCAGACCAAGGCGCAGCCCUGAAACCUCCUCUUCAUGUGACCUGGAGCCCUGGGAGCAACACUGUCCUCAUCUGUCCAAUGACAGCCCUUUUCUCACAGAGUUGUUGUGAAGAUUCAACAAUUUCUUGGCAUAGUGCCUGGCACGUGGUAUGUGCUUAGCUCAAACGGCCGCUCUCAUCAUGAAUGAGACUGUUUCACCCUGCUGGCCCCUGGUUGGCACCCUCAUCCUCAAAUGCCAUUUCUUCUAUCUGUGCACAGCCCUUUAUUGUUUAUAAAGUACUCUUCCAAAAAGUUACCCUAUGUGUUAAAAAAAAGGUUUAAGUCCUUUCAGACCCUACCUCAGAGAAGGCCUAGACUUAGAGCCUUUUGGGAGCGUCCAUCUUGUUUAAUCCAGGUGCAACCAAAGGGUCCUGAAGCAAGAAGCACGAUCCCAGCUUCCCCCAAUCACUUCUAAACAGUGAUUCCAGCCUUGUUUAGAAUCACUAUGAAAACCUGCACCCCAGCUGACUGCUGGGAUCCAUAAGGGGGCAGUGUCAAAGGGACUAACAAGUGGACUCCAUCAGCAGGCACUGGAAUUCAGGACUGCUCACACCCCCUCAGUGCCGAGGACCGAGCUCAAGACCAGCUCUUCUGAUCCAGAGGUUUUCGGCAAACAGCAUUUGAAACAAACAAAAGCUUGGCUGCUCUGUUUGCCACCAAACUGUGGCUCCAGAUUCCAGUGGAAGCCAAGUGCUUUUUCUUUUACAGCUGGGCGCCUGUAAUCCCAGCUACUCAGGCAGGAGAAUCGCUUGAAUCUGGGAGGCGGGGGAUAUAGUAAGCCAAGAUUGUGCCAUUGUGCUCCAGCCCGGGCGACAAGAGUGAGACUCCAUCUCAAAAAGUAAAGAAGAAAUGCUUGGGACCAGAAAUAUUUUGGAUUUUUUUCAGAUUAAUAUUUGUUUUACCUGAAGCAAAUAUUAUUUGAGCGUCCCAACUCCGAAAUCCAAAAUGCUUAAAUGAGUAUUUCCUUUUAGAGUCAUUUCAGCUCUCAAAAAAUUUUGGAUUUUGAGCAUUUCAGAUUUUUGGAUUUGAGAUCCAUGGGUGGAUCUCAUAUAUUUCACUUGAGGGGGCUGUUGUAGAUUUUUUUUUUCAAUUGCUCAUUGUUAGUGUAUAGAAAUACAAUUGAGGCUGGGCGUGGUGGCUCAUGCCUGUAAUCCCAGCACUUUGGGAGGCCGAGGUGGCCAGAUCACUUGACUUCAGGUAUUUGAGCCCAGCCUGGCCAACAAGGAAAAAGCCUCAUCUCUGCUAAAAACACAAAAGUUAGCAAUGCAUGGUGGUGGACACCUGAUAUCCAAGCUACUGAGAUUAGAGGCUGAGACAGAAUUGCUUGAACCCAGGAGAGCCAAGAUCACAACACUGCGUUCCAGCCUGGGCAACAAAGCAAGACUCCACCUCAAAAAAAAAAAAAAAAAAAAAAAAAGGUUCUACGCCUUCUGUCCCCCAUGGUUUCUACUCAGAAAUCCACAGGCAUUAACUGUUGUUUCCCAAUAGGUAAUGCCUCAUUUUUUCCCCAGCUGCUUUUAAAGAUUUUCUCCUUGUCUUUGGUUCCCAUCAGUUUGAUUAUGAUGUAUAUGUGCAUGGAUUUCUUUGGGUUAUCCUUAUCAGAGUUCACAGAGCCUCUUGAUUGUCUUUCAAAAAUCUGGGAAGUUCUCAGCUAUGAUUUCUUCAAAUAUUGUUUUCUGCACCAUACUGUCCUGUAUUUCUGUGUCUUCGAUAACAUGAACAUUAGACCUUUUGAUAUUAUCUGUGAAUUUCUGAGUCUUCAUUUAAAAAAAAAAAAUUCUCUGGCUGGAUGUGGUGGCACAUACCUAUAGUCCCAGCUAUUUGUUGGGGCUGAGGUGGGAGUAUCACUUGAGCCCAGGAGGUCAAGACUGCAGUGAGCCGAGAUCGCACCACUGCACUUCAGCCUGGGUGACAAAGUGAGACCCUGUCUCAAAAAACCCACAAAAAUUUUCUUUUUCUCUCUGCUGCUCAUGUUGGGUAAUGUAUUAGUUUAGACUUGGUGCUGUAACAAAUUACCACAAAUUCUAUGCUUAAAAUUGCAGAAGAUCUGGGAAAAAAAAAAAUACCACAAACUUAGUGGCUCAAAACUACAUCCAUAUAUUUUUUCACAAUUUCUGUAGGCCAGGAGUCUGAUUGGACUUGACUAGGUCCUUUGCUUAGAGUCUCACAAGGUCAAAAUCACAUUUCAUAAGGCCAAAACCAAAUGUUUUUUUCCCUGGAGGCUCUGAGGAAGAAUCUGCUUCAUGUUCAUUUUGGUUCUUGGCUGAAUUUAGUUCAUUGCAGUUGCAGGGUAGAGGACCCUGUUUUCUUAGCUGUCAGCUGGGGGCCGGCCUUUGCUCCAUAGAAGCUGCCCACAUUCUGGUGCUUUCUAUGUGUCCCCCUCCAGAAAUAGCAGGUUGAAUUCUUCUUACACUUUAAAUAUCUCUUAACUUUUCCUUCUGCUACAUCUAAGUCCAGCCAGAGAGAAUCACUCUGCUUUAAAAAGACUCAUGUGAUUAGAAUAAGCCCACCUAAUAGUCCAGAAUAAUCCCAAUUUUAAAAUCAGUUACAUCUGCAGUCUCCUUUGUCAUAUAAAGUAACAUUCACAUUUUCCAGGGAAUAGAUCAGAAACAUCAUUUCCAAAUCUUGAUUCUUAUAUUUUCUUAGUUCUAAAAUUAUUAUUUAGCCUGUAAUCACAGCACUUUGAGAGGCUGAGGCGGGUGGAUCACCUGAGGUCGGGAGUUCAAGACCAGCCU